GCUCCAUAUUGCACUGAACGCAGAACAUUUUUUCAAGUGGAAAUAUAUUACGGACGCACGGCUUUUUGGUGCAUUGCCGGUUACGGGCUUUCUAUGUGAUUGGGAUUAUAUUUCCAGCUCUAGCAACUGUGUAGCCUCAGGCGAUUGAUUAGUCCAACCUAUUAUGGCUCCAGGGAUGCAUGCGCCUCUGAGGAGUUCCAAGCCUGGAAUCGGUUACCGAGCACUUAGAUAUCCAGAAAUGCAACUUGGAGAUCCAGUGUCCGACGGGGAUGCCUUUGUUCUCCAAGUUUAUUUUUUUCUAUAAGUCUAUCUAUUUAGCCUCUUUGUUCCCAAACAGAAGUAGGUAAUGACAAUGAAACAGGCCAAAUGGUUAGAAGCAGGAGGGCCCACUGACACUUGGGCCCACCGGGAGUUAUCCUGGUGGGCCAGUCCGACACUGUGGAGAUCCUGUACAGCAAACCCAAAGUUACAGAACUCGGGUAGAGCAGAACUAUACAGAGGUUGUCGUUAUAUAGUUGGAGAGCUGAGGUAAAGAUGCCCCACUUACCAUCCCCGGUGCUGUCUCAUUUCAGGCCUCUCCUGAUGUUCCUGAAGCAUCGAACAGUAACCCAGCCAAUUUCAGACAUUCCCGGAGUCCCCACAUCCCACCCCACUUUGCCAGAAUGAGCACCCCAUCACAGGAAGGUGGGCAUCUAUACCCUCAAGGACAAUACCCCAUGGGGUACAUGCCCCAGAUGAGACCAGGAGAGCCUUACGGCAAUGCCAGGGGAGGCCAAAAUACAGACAGAGGAGGAAGGACAAACAAGUGAAGGAGGACAGGCAGACAGGCCUGAGAGCCCGAAACUGAGAGUCACAAGACACAGUGUGGAAACUUUGGGUAAGGAAGGCCACAGCCUUCGGGGAAUGGCAUCUUCCACCCCAUCCCAAUAUGAUUCUGCAGCCUCCCUAUUCACCCCAGCACCAUUACAGACCUCAAGAGUACCCCAUGCCACCUGUGCAUGCCACGCAGCCCCCUGCUCAAGGUGACACUAAUGGCUACUCUGCUCUGUGGCCCACUUACCAGAACGUGGAUAACAACAGAAGACACUUUCAUGCUGUCAAGAUGGAGCAAAGUGGCAACAUUCCCCCUUUCCAGAAUAUGUACCGACCCCAGUGGUGAGUAUUGUGGCAAGUGUAUUGCUGGCAUCUGGUCGCUGGCAUCUGGUCGCUAGCAUCUCCAGUUACUACUGAACUACAACUCCCAGUAUUUUCUGUUCUUCUGGUAUUUAAUCCAAUCCAAUGUGAAUACGAGUUAGAGUAUAUCAUGUUUAGGGGGGCCAGGUCCCUUUGCCCCCCGUUCUGAUGCCCCAAGUGUUACAGCUCUGGGGGAAAAAAUCAUUAGAGCUCUGGAAAAGUGCUACAGCUCUUGAUGUAUGGCCAGAUCCAGUGGUGCUGAUCUCCACCUUCGUUGAUCGUCUGACUUCCUGGCGACAUAUGAUGUUGCUAGCUGCAUACUCUUCAUUGCCCUGUUUUCUUCAUGGUCGGGUCCGCUUCAUCACUGGGAGACUCUUCCUCUUCUGUUGCCCUGCGAUGCCCCUUUCAGAAGUUGCUCUUCUUCCAGAACUGCGCUGAUGACGUCUUGUACCACCUGAAUCCACCACAGGAUCUCUUGUAGCUUGCCCUUGUGGUCCUUUCCAGCAAUCCUUUACCUCUUCUACUUCUUCUAAAAAUUGAAAAAUACUAAUAUGGUAACUAUUUCACCUACAGUUGGACUGACUUCUAAUGAACCAGAAGUGAAUCUUUAAAAAAGCUUUUUUAAAACUUGGGUUUACUGAUACAUUUUGGUUUUUAGGCUGGUAUCAUUUUAGUUCAGUGUUAUAUAAUAUGCUUUAUAUAUUCGUUUUCUAUUCCUAGUUAAGCAACAAUAUAUUCCUCAUUUCCGAAACCUGAUGUGACCGUUAUUAUUAUCAAUGGACAUGCCACAGAUAUUACAGAUCUGUUAUCAUGGCUGUGCAGCCCUUUCCAUGCUAGCUCUGUAAAGUUAUUAUGGAAGAAGGGGGAGCACUGGCAACUCUUCAGGCGAUGAAAGAACAUCCACAGGACACAGUGUUCAGAAACGGGGCUGCAUGGUCAUCAGGAACCUUGUCUCUCGAAUUUGGGAUUUCUCACAGCCUAUCCUGGAAAUGGGAGCAGAGUCCCUUAUUCUCCAAGCCCGUAGUGCUCAUAAACAUUGCAAUGAUGUGGCCAAAGCUGCUCUGAGAGAUCUUGGUUGCAAAGUGGAGCUCAAGGAACUAUGGACUGGCCAAAAGGGUAGCUUAGUUCACUAGAGUUAUAAAUAAAUUAAAAAAUCAAUUUGCAGCUUAAAGAGACAAAGGUAAUGUUGGAAAGUUUAUACAGUAACUCCAUCCAUCCCUUUUACAGCCAAUAAGUAAAGUUUUUUUUUUUUUACUUACUUUGUACAACACAUAGCCUACAGUUGCUGUCUGAAAUUUAGGGCACCAAAAAAGUUUUACUGAAAGGAAGAAAAAGCCCAACCAUGACAGCGUUUAACACAGAGAAUAACAUGGCAAUUUUUUAUGUUAUCUCCACAUUGGUGGUUACAUGAAUCAGUAAAGCAGCUGUAGGAUUAAAGAAAUCUAUGAUGCUAAUCAUUAUGCUUUUCCUAAAGCUUUAGCCUCCACCAGUGUUAACUGAUUACACAGCUCUUGCAGUUUAUAAUAUAGCACUGUGGUUUUAAUUCAGGAUAAAGCUAUGAGCAUAAGACUCUUGUGGGCUUAGGUUUCUGGGCUCUGUAUCUGUUUUACUACUCAAACUAACUGUUAGUAAGAAGUGAGCAUCGCCCUGCUUAAUGUGCAUUAGUUAGAAAUGCAAAUAUGUUUGCAUUGUGCUCUUUCUACAUUGAACAGCAAGAAGAUACUUGCAGUGAUGCAAAAUGUGUGAAUGAGCUUCAACUGUGAAAUAUUAAUUGCUUUAUUUAUUUGUGUAUGUAUGCAGUAUUAUGCUUCAAUUAUUUACACCCUUGUUAAUAAAUAUGUAUCCCUUUUGUGAAUAUCUUCAUAAAAGGAAAAGUCUAAAGCACAGAUUGUGAUGCCAACAAUCUCUGAAACUUAUAGUAAAAAAUGCAAAAACAAUUUGAAUUUGAUUUGAAGCCCCUCAAUAAUUCCUAAACUGGAGUACAACAUCUACAAAAUAUUAUAUCCAUUUGCUCUACUGCCUGCUUGAAAUACAGGGAAAAUUGGCUCUAGUUUAUUUUUCAGGGCUUUUUAUUAUUAUUACUAGGUCUGUUAUCUGCAUUGUGCAGAUCUGAUCUUCUACAUGUUAUUUGCAAUAAAUACUGUGUUGGGGAGCAAAGCUUUCUAGAUUUUAAUGAUGGUCAGAUUAUAGACAAUUUUAGCUAUAAAGAUUUGCAUACCCCCAACAUUUGAAAAAUGCAAAGAGACAAAAACAUCAGCGUCAGUAUUAUAACAGUUUUGCUAAUGACGAUGAAACUGCCCUUAAAGCUGAAAGGCUCAGUUCUCCCAAGAGACCUGCUUAUCUUAACUAGUUACAAUUGUAUCUUUGCUUAACUUAAAUUGUUAGAAAUGCAUCUAAUUGCAGGUGCUGAGUAUUAUGGGCUGUCUGCCAAAAAGACUCUUAUUCACGUAAAAGAGGAGAGGGCUGCGAAGCAGAAGAGUCUGGGGAGGUGCUUGAAGGUGGGGGGCUGGCGGAAAAGCAGAGAGUAUAGUGGGAGGAAAAGGCAAUCAAGAGAAAGCAGCAGGGCCAGUCCUUCCACACUGAGGAGAGCACGGUUGGACUGGGGGGCCCAGGCUCACCAGGGCUUCUGCCUCAGGGUCCCCAUUUUGGACCGUGGGGCUGCUGCCUCAGGGCCUCCCGUCUGGCAACCAUUCCGGUGUGGGUGUGUGCAUGCAAGUAAACGUGCGCACCCAAACUGCUUUUUUGCCGUGACCGGUCGGUCGCGCCAGGAAGAGAACUAGGGUGCGGAUCUGGCCCAAUGGGGCCCACUAGAGCCGGGGGCCCACCGGGUUUUUUCCCGGUGUCCCACCAGCCCAGUCCGAACCUGAGUGGGGGCCGCUCUUUUGCUAAUCUCACAAAGUUGCACAUGCCUCACUCGUUAGCAGCUUGAGACUGACAUGCUUCUUUUAUACACAAUUUAUGUGGGGUUAGUGCACAAAGUGCAUGCAUGAUCAAUGGUUAGUAUUACUGCUCAUUUACCAGUGCAAGUGCAAGGUUUUACCUGGAAUUAUCAUUAACAUGUAAUUAUAAAGUGCUAACUUAUUCUGUAGCGCUGUACAAUAAAUUAGUUUAUACACAUUUUAUAUUAUAAAAAUAUUUCUAAAGCACCAACACACUCUGUAGUGCAGUGCAAUAAUUGGGUAAAUAUAUUGAACAUUCAAAUUAAAAGAAAAAAUAGAUACAAAAGUUAGAGGGCCCAGAUGUGCUUUCAUUCCUAUUAAUAUUAAUAAUCAUUUUCCUUUUGAAGGAAUUUAUACACAUAUAAAUAUUUGUUUAAAACAGCUUGCUCUGAAAGUGUAUUCUGCC